rnacentral:rRNA from 1 species
CCUACGGGAGGCAGCAGUGGGGAAUAUUGGGCAAUGGGCGCAAGCCUGACCCAGCAAUGCCGCGUGAAGGAAGAAGGCUUUCGGGUUGUAAACUUCUGUUACAGGGGAAGAGCAGAAGACGGUACCCUGAAAACAAGCCAGGGCUAACUACGUGCCAGCAGCCGCGGUAAUACGUAGGUGGCAGGCGUUUUCCGGAUUUACUGGGUGUAAAGGGAGUGUAGCCGGGAAGCCAAGUCAGAUGUGAAAUCUGGAGGCUCAACCUCCAAAUUGCAUUUGAAACUGUUUUUCUUGAGUACUGGAGAGGCUGACGGAAUUCCUUGUGUAGCGGUGAAAUGCGUAGAUAUAAGGAGGAACACCAGUGGCGAAGGCGGUCUGCUGGACUGCAACUGACGGUGAGGCGCGAAAGCGUGGGGAGCAAACAGGAUUAGAUACCCCUGUAGUC